UGUCUCUCCUUCUCUCUGUAAAUCUGACUUUCCAAUAAAGCUGCAGCUCCAUUGAGUCCACUCAAGUGGACACAUCUCAGCAAAAUAGAAUCUGGCAGCUUCUCAGCAUAACAAAGUCUGACUUCCUUUGGAUCAGAGAUAUGUACUGCACUGUUCCUUCAUUUUCUG